UACGUAGGGUGCGAGCGUUGUCCGGAAUUACUGGGCGUAAAGAGCUCGUAGGUGGUUUGUCGCGUUGUUCGUGAAAACCGGGGGCUUAACUCUCGGCGUGCGGGCGAUACGGGCAGACUGGAGUACUGCAGGGGAGACUGGAACUCCUGGUGUAGCGGUGGAAUGCGCAGAUAUCAGGAGGAACACCAGCGACGAAGGCGGCGCUCUGGGCCGGUACUGACGCUGAGGAGCGAAAGCUAGGGGAGCAAACAGG
rnacentral:rRNA from 1 species